UGUCCAGGGGCGGGAAUCGAACCCACAACCUUCUGCUUACCGGGCAGGUGCCAUGUCCACUAGGCUACUUCGCCAAUAC